rnacentral:lncRNA from 1 species
CAAAAGCCACAUCACAUAGAAGGAAGUUGUCUCCUCUGCUCUCUUGUAGCCUUCUGAUUCCGUCGAGCAGAUCCAGAUGAGAUCUCUAGCUGGCUUGGCCUUACAUGGCCAAAGGAACCGAGAGCAGCCUGGGACUAUCGAACCCUGUGAGUCUAUCCCUCACGGAAGGCAGCACCCUCAGCUCGGAGGUCAACGCUAAGUGUGGUAACUUAAUUACCUCAGCCAGUGAUUGAGUUCAGCGUGGAAAUUGGAAUCCUCAGGUCAAUGACAUCAGGAAGAGUUUACUAAAGGGCUUCUGAGAAAGCUCUUCUU